rnacentral:rRNA from 1 species
UCAGGAUGAACGCUAGCUACAGGCUUAACACAUGCAAGUCGAGGGGCAGCAUGAUCGAAGCUUGCUUUGAUUGAUGGCGACCGGCGCACGGGUGAGUAACGCGUAUCCAACCUUCCCUAUAGUAGAGAAUAGCCCGGCGAAAGUCGGAUUAAUGCUCUAUGUUGUAUUUAGAAGACAUCUGAAGAAUACCAAAGGUUUACCGCUAUAGGAUGGGGAUGCGUCUGAUUAGCUUGUUGGCGGGGUAACGGCCCACCAAGGCGACGAUCAGUAGGGGUUCUGAGAGGAAGGUCCCCCACAUUGGUACUGAGACACGGACCAAACUCCUACGGGAGGCAGCAGUGAGGAAUAUUGGUCAAUGGGCGAGAGCCUGAACCAGCCAAGUAGCGUGCAGGAAUGACUGCCCUAUGGGUUGUAAACUGCUUUUAUCAGGGAAUAAAGUGCGGCACGUGUGCCGUUUUGUAUGUACCUGAUGAAUAAGGACCGGCUAAUUCCGUGCCAGCCGCGGC